CCUCACCGUCCUUCGAACGCUGGGGACUUGCUUUCUGUGCGGAGGGGGGAUGGAUGCAUGGAUAUGUUACUGUUGCUCCAUCUGAUUAGCACACUCUUAACACUGAGAAGAGGCUAACAACUGCACAGCGUACUUAAAUAAUUCAGGAGGUGUCUUCGCUUCACUGAAGUUAGCUUAGCCGAGGUACUGAGGUACGACCUCCCGUCCCAUCGCUCUCCCCUCCCCUCCCAUUGAACGAACCCAAACACCAAGAAACCAAAUUCUUCUCUCCGUUCUUCCUCCUCCUGCUUCCAGUUCCAGUACGGCCGCCGCUCACCGGAUCCAAGAAGAAUCGAUUCAUCUAGCUCCCUGUUAAUUGUUCCAUAUUUCGUUUGCGUUUAUUUGGUUUCAGCAGUGCUUGAGGCGUGAGAAAGGCCCUGAAGAGAUUGACAGAAGAGAGUGAGCACCCGGCGCGGCGGUCGGCAUCGAAGGCAUGCCGUCCCCGCCGCGUGCUCGCUCCUCUUUCUGUCAGCCUCUCCCUCGUCCUGAGCCGCUUCUGUUCAAUUCAAUCCAGCCGUUCUGAUCUGAGUUUAGGCGACAGACACUACCGGAGGAGAGAGGCUUUUGCUGUGGCGCGGUGGAAACCGUGCCGCGCAGAGUUGGACACACAUGCCGCGAGAGGACGCUGGCUUUUGCAGGCAGCAAGGACAUGUCACUUCAUUAUCUUCUAGAUAUACGCAUUGAUUUGUAUAUUUUUUGCUCUCGAUUUGAUCCCUUUCCGUCAGGCUGUCGGGGAGCUACUACCGAGGAGGAGGAAGAGAUGAGGUUGCUGAUACUGAUGGCACGGCAUGCAAAGAGUACUCCGAGGAACAAGCUAUUGUGGCUUUGCAGUACACUGAAAAAUGAUUGGUUUGGCCAUUUAUUUUGCUUGUCCCCAAGAUUUUUCUUCCCCGUCUAGCUCCCAGCUGCUCGCAGCCUGCCUUGGAAGCUGAAUUCAGGAGAUGCUCAUAGUACACCGCAACACUCCAUUAUUGCUGCAUCGUUUCUGCACUUUCUUGCUGAGGUUCUUGGUUUGGAGUUCUUGGGACCUCCUGCGGCCAUGGCGAUAGUGAUGGUUGUGCUGCUCAUGAGCUCAUGUUGGCUAAAAAAUGGAGCAUGGAGGUUACCAUGCGAUGAGCCAUAUUUGGCAAAGACGGUGGCCUCACCUUGCUUUUGCCAGAUCUGGCUUGCAUCUUAGGACAUGGGCGUCAUGAUUUAAUGGGAAACGCCAUUUGCUGCUUAUGACUAAGGAGUACUCUUCCAAGGUUGUACUACUUUUAGACAGCAAAUGUCAAGGUUGUACCACCUGCAUAUUGAUUAUUGCAUUUGCUUUCUCGGAUCACAUUCAAAAGGAAGCUGCUUUUUCCGAAGUUGCAGGCUGGCGAAUUAAGUUAUAUGGCUGAGUUCAUUAAGAGGGAGAGAGAAUUAGGUACAGUGAGCAGGACACAAGAAGGCUGUUGUCCCAAAGAAAUACGACAUAAACAGAAGUAUGAUGGCAGAUUAUGUUCCUAAUUAGUGGACGUUCUGGGGUAAUCGGCGCUCCACCAAGACCAAAUUCUUCUUUGAUAAUGCAGUACAGUGCUAUUAGCUGUUUAUAUUGAGCUUAGAAUAUCUAAGUGUUUUGUUCCUUUCGCAGCAUCCAAUGCAUUAGUAUGAACAGAGUGCUUGAAAUUCUGCUGAAAAAAUUGAAGCAGAUAAGUCCUAACAAUUCAUCAAUGAUGACCUAGUGCAAGAAUGACAUACAAAAUUUGAGUGACCAAGACAGGAUGUAAAAUGGCUAUCCAUCUUUGAAGAACCUUAUGGAAUUAAUUUCAGACGCAUGCCUAUCUUGCAACAAGUAAGAUCAUAUGCAGGAGCAUGCCAUGUAUCAAUCAUACUGUAACAGUUGGUGAUUUUUCUGGAAACAAGAUAAUAAUCAUUACUAUGAUAUGGAUGCCCUUUCUCCUUUAAAAAAUAAGUAUGCAAGAAAUUAGCUCUUCUGUUGGUACUCUAGACAUUCAAAAAUAUGAAAUGUAGAAUCAUUUGUACUAUGAUAUGCCUGCCCUUUCUUAGAAAAAUAUGUAUUCAUGAAAUAAAACUCUUCUGUUGCUACUUUAUGCAUUCAAGUGAAGUACAAAACGUAUAACAUAUGCACUUUGUUUUUGAGGAACGACAAUAUGCACUUUCAUGCUACUGGUAAGAAGUCCAGUUCUUUGUUGGGACUCCUACACCACACACGGGAGUGAACUUAUAACCAUUUUUCAGGCAGAUUUAGCUGCUUGUUUCUCCUACUACUAUAAGCUAAUGAUACUAAUUGGUUGAAUACUCUGCAUUAGUAUAUGAAAUCAGAAAUCCUGUUCUAGUGGUUCCUCUUUGUGCACCACCCUGUUUUGUCGAUAUUUUCUCAUAAGCACUACAGUCCUGCUGCUGUUUGUUGCCACUCUUGGCCUCCCAUAUUUCCGGCAUUGACUUUGCAUAACUUUUUUCUAUUCCUCAAUUAUGAAUAGGCAGAUAUCCUGACCUCAUUCCAGGGAAAAUAAUUCACUUGAUUUGUCUUCAAUUUCAUGUCAACAGCCGAUCAAAAAAAUAUAUUGUCAACAGAUCCUGGCAACAAAAGGUUGUGUAUAAUCUGGGAGUAGAUAUGUACGAUGAUACCAUAUUCCAAUGUCAAGAAGAAUGUUCAUCAUACUACUGCAAGAAGAUUUCAGGAACUGCUUCAAUCUAUGAAACUAACCCAGGAGAUAUACUCCCAACGUUGAAGAUGUUGAUUGAGGACGCUACAGAAUACAGACGCAAUACUGCGAGAGGAAUAGGAAAUGUGAAUUGCCAUGGAGCAGCUUCGGAGGCACAGCAAGCAAGAAAGUAAACAAUGACAACGGUGAACACGGAACUGAUUCCAAGCAUCUCAGGUGUCACAUGCGGUGAGGGUGAACGCUUGCUAUUGCUGAAUCGAAAAUCUUCUGUUUCGGUCAAGGAGUUUAGUGCCUACGAAUUCAACCACUCCCGAACACACAAUUUUGCUUCCUCCUUGUCCUAGAUUAUUCAACUAUUCAGGUGUCACUUUCAGGAUGGUUGCCGACUGUUUUCCAGCCUUCUUGGAGAAACGUCACAUUCCAUAUCAGUUGACCGUAUACAUGCCAGCACUUAGCUGCCAAGGUUCAAACAAGUAGUACAAUUUCUGCUAUGUCCAACAACUUACUUGCAAAGAACGUUGGUAAUACACUGAAACUCAUUGUUCACACUAUUACACCUAAACUUUGUCCUUUUUGUAUUUCGCAAACAUGAUUGAAUUUGAUCGCGCCAUUUUGUAUAGAUUUAAAAUACAGCCUCUCCUAUAGAUGAGAUCUUUCUAAAGAAUUUUUUAGAACUUUUA